CUGGAGCUUCUUCUUUUGGUUUUAGCUCAAUCUCUGUGACCUCUGGUUUUUCCUUUUUCUUAACCACCUUCUUUUUCUUCUUUUCCUUAGGCUUUUCUUCAAUCUGCUCUUCUGGCUUCUCCUCAGGGGCUUCUUCAGGCUUCUCUUCUGGUUUCUCAAUGCUCUCAAGUUCAACUGGCUUUUCAAUCACUUGUGUAACAUCAAGCUGAGGUACUUCUUCUGAUGUAACCGUUAUAUCGAUUACUUCUUCAGGCUUGCGCAGCUUCUCAAUCGUGAUGUCAAACUCAGUGAUUUCUUCAACUUUCUCUUCAAUUUCUUUGAUUUCAGUCACUUCCUUAAUUUCCUCAGGGGCUUCUUCUUUUGGUUUCAGCUCAAUCUCUGUGACCUCUGGCUUUUCCUUUUUCUUAACCACCUUCUUUUUCUUCUUUUCCUUAGGCUUUUUUCAAUCUGUUCUUCUGGCUUCUCCUCAGGCACUUCUUCAGGCUUUUCUUCUGGUUUCUCAAUGCUCUCGAGUUCAAUUGGCUUUUCAAUCACUUGUGUGACUUCAAGCUGAGGUACUUCUUCUGAUGUAACCGUUAUAUCGAUUACUUCUUCAGG